UUAACUAUUAUAUAGUACUCAGACAAUAUUAUUAACAAGAGUUUUAGGUCCUCUAGCAGGCACUGACCAGCCGAAGCCAGCGGCCCGAGAGCGGGCCUGCUAAAGCAACAAAGGUAAUGUAAACAAAGGGUGGAGUUCUUAGUCCCAAGAACAGUACUCCGAAGGGAUUACUAUCUUGGGCUUUGAAUCUCUGUAAUGAUCCUUCCGCAGGUUCACCUACGGAAA
rnacentral:misc_RNA from 1 species